rnacentral:lncRNA from 1 species
AGGAGGGGGGAGUCUGUAGUCUGGGAGAAGAAAGUAGGAAACAAGCAAUAGGAGGAGAUGGCAGCAAGGAAAUGGGAGCGGUUUAUAAACGGAAGGAGUAAGGAGAUGCAGUUUUCUAUGGUGAAGACAUUCCCAAAGGUUUCCACCUGACACUGACACCUGCGGACAUUGUACAGAAAGGAAAGCUCUUCACUAACUACGUGCACACCCAAACCUUGUAGAUUUCUCCUAUGGACCUGGUGUGCCAGAGAUGACCCUUGCAGAUAAUUUCAGACCUGCCUGGAUUUGAAGUUCAAGCCACUGACUCCAGAGAAGGAAAACGAUCCAUGCAAAAUGCCUGAGUUAAGAUUGCCAUUCAGUUACCCUCCAGUUGUAUGGUCCUUGGAGGACAAAAUCCUUUUU